UAGUCCACGCCGUAAACGAUGGUCACUCGAUAUAUGUACAUAGUACAUGUGUCCAAGCGAAAGCGUUAAGUGACCCACCUGGGGAGUACGCUCGCAAGAGUGAAACUUAAAGGAAUUGACGGGGGUCCGCACAAGCGGUGGAACAUGUGGUUUAAUUCGAUACUACGCGAGAAACCUUACCUAGGCUAAAUCUAUACUGCAACUCCAAGAAACUGGAGGUUCCGCAAGGACGGUAUAGAAGGUGCUGCAUGGCUGUCGUCAGCUCGUGCCGUGAGGUGUUGGGUUAAGUCCUAUAACGAGCGCAACCCCUAUGCUUAGUUGCCAGCACGUAAUGGUGGGAACUCUAAGCAGACUGCCUGCGAAAGCAGUGAGGAAGGAGGGGACGAGGUCAAGUCAUCAUGGCUCUUACGCCUAGGGCUACACACGUGUUACAAUGGCAUGUACAACGGGUUGCUACCUGGUAACAGGAUGCCAAUCCCUUAAAACACGUCUCAGUUCGGA
rnacentral:rRNA from 1 species